UACGGGGGGAGCAAGCGUUGUUCGGAUUUACUGGGCGUAAAGGGCGCGUAGGCGGUAGCACAAGUCAGUUGUGAAAUCUCCGGGCUUAACUCGGAAAGGUCAACUGAUACUGUGCGACUAGAGUGCAGAAGGGGCAACUGGAAUUCUCGGUGUAGCGGUGAAAUGCGUAGAUAUCGAGAGGAAUACCGGUGGCGAAAGCGACUCUCUGGACGGCAACUGACGCUGAGGCACGAAAGCGUGGGGAGCAAACAGG
rnacentral:rRNA from 1 species